rnacentral:rRNA from 1 species
UUGCUACAGGCUUAACACAUGCAAGUCGAGGGGCAGCAUGGUCUUAGCUUGCUAAGGCCGAUGGCGACCGGCGCACGGGUGAGUAACACGUAUCCAACCUGCCGUCUACUCUUGGACAGCCUUCUGAAAGGAAGAUUAAUACAAGAUGGCAUCAUGAGUCCGCAUGUUCACAUGAUUAAAGGUAUUCCGGUAGACGAUGGGGAUGCGUUCCAUUAGAUAGUAGGCGGGGUAACGGCCCACCUAGUCUUCGAUGGAUAGGGGUUCUGAGAGGAAGGUCCCCCACAUUGGAGCUGAGACACGGUCCAAACUCCUACGGGAGGCAGCAGUGAGGAAUAUUGGUCAAUGGGCGAGAGCCUGAACCAGCCAAGUAGCGUGAAGGAUGACUGCCCUAUGGGUUGUAAACUUCUUUUAUAAAGGAAUAAAGUCGGGUAUGGAUACCCGUUUGCAUGUACUUUAUGAAUAAGGAUCGGCUAACUCCGUGCCAGCAGCCGCGGUAAUACGGAGGAUCCGAGCGUUAUCCGGAUUUAUUGGGUUUAAAGGGAGCGUAGAUGGAUGUUUAAGUCAGUUGUGAAAGUUUGCGGCUCAACCGUAAAAUUGCAGUUGAUACUGGAUAUCUUGAGUGCAGUUGAGGCAGGCGGAAUUCGUGGUGUAGCGGUGAAAUGCUUAGAUAUCACGAAGAACUCCGAUUGCGAAGGCAGCCUGCUAAGCUGCAACUGACAUUGAGGCUCGAAAGUGUGGGUAUCAAACAGGAUUAGAUACCCUGGUAGUCCACACGGUAAACGAUGAAUACUCGCUGUUUGCGAUAUACAGCAAGCGGCCAAGCGAAAGCGUUAAGUAUUCCACCUGGGGAGUACGCCGGCAACGGUGAAACUCAAAGGAAUUGACGGGGGCCCGCACAAGCGGAGGAACAUGUGGUUUAAUUCGAUGAUACGCGAGGAACCUUACCCGGGCUUAAAUUGCAGAUGAAUUACGGUGAAAGCCGUAAGCCGCAAGGCAUCUGUGAAGGUGCUGCAUGGUUGUCGUCAGCUCGUGCCGUGAGGUGUCGGCUUAAGUGCCAUAACGAGCGCAACCCUUGUUGUCAGUUACUAACAGGUUCCGCUGAGGACUCUGACAAGACUGCCAUCGUAAGAUGUGAGGAAGGUGGGGAUGACGUCAAAUCAGCACGGCCCUUACGUCCGGGGCUACACACGUGUUACAAUGGGGGGUACAGAGGGCCGCUACCACGCGAGUGGAUGCCAAUCCCCAAAACCUCUCUCAGUUCGGACUGGAGUCUGCAACCCGACUCCACGAAGCUGGAUUCGCUAGUAAUCGCGCAUCAGCCACGGCGCGGUGAAUACGUUCCCGGGCCUUGUACACACCGCCCGUCAAGCCAUGGGAGCCGGGGGUACCUGAAGUGCGUAACCGCGAGGAACGCCCUAGGGUAAAACUGGUGACUGGG